UGGUUUGGUGUUUGUAACUCUCCAAGAAGAGAAGACGGGUGCACAAUCCCAAGAUUGCGGAGGCUGUACGGCGUCUCUGAGGCACACUGCAGGCGUUUUGAACCAGAACAAAGACUAACGUCGCCUCAUAACGAAGCCGUGACCUCCUAUUUGGUUGGGGCUAUUUUAGCAAGUCCACAUUUAACUGCUGAGAAUGACGACAUUGUUACUGCCUGUAAGACGUAUUAUGAGUCGGUUCGCCGGAGCUUCAGAUACAAACAACCUGAACUCGCAUCGCGGGCGGAAAAUGCGAAAAGUUUAGCUCGGAGUCGAUCCAGAAGAAAAAGGUUGCUGGAAGCGAGACGAAGUGUGCUGGCUGAGGGUGAGAUGGACAUUUGAAAGUGCGCCACCAUAGAUCUCAUGUCUGAUGAAGACGGCAUUGUUGACGGGGUGUCUGGAUGGAUUGUGCGGCCACCGCCCUCUCGCAGCCUGGAACUCUCCGAGCUCUGUGCCACGCUGCAAUUCAGAUUAGAGGCGAUACCAAAGUACAGGGGAACUCACCAUAUAUGCCUGCAAAAGCGACUUUUUACAACGUUUUUGAGUUUUUUUUUUCUCUUUCUUUUUUCAACACUUGAUAACUUUGAAAAAGAUUUUUAGGGAUCUUUCCCGAAUGUCUUGGGCACUUUUUGACGUGUUUGGAGGACAACAUACAUUAUGCUGCUUUGUACAUAGUUGUGUGUUUCUAAUUAAAGCUCUUUCUUUGAAUAAACA